AGAAUGUGUUUGUUUUCAGCUGUGCCCCGGUGCGGUCCGUCCCUCAAAUGUGUUCGUAGAACUGCGCGGAUAAGAGUAAAGUUCCGCCAUACAAAAUUCUAUUUUAAAAUAACUUGUGAUGUCUAGUAAGACUGAAUUAAAACCUCAUUUGCGUAUAUGAUGACGCAAUGUUUGUAGGUGGCUGUUCCACUUGGAAAAAUGGGGAUAAAGUGUAAUGGUACGGUGAAUAGCCUCCGUACCGUAGUAAGAGAGGUAAGAAUGUAAGUAAAAAGUAUCUAUACAAUGAUUGUUUAAUCUAUUGCCUAGUUAUCCCACGAUUAUCACAAUCUUUUAAAAUAAAAUAGAAUAAAAUAAAACAAGAAUACGGGAAAGCGGAAGCUAACCCUUUGACGCAAACCUCCAUGCUGCCGUACCGGAAGUUACGUUGUGAGUAUGUUUAUGUAUCCCGUGUGUACGUGCUGCAGUUACCUCAACUCAUGUUCAUUAGAAAGGUCAGCUAAAAACGUGUAGGUUAGUUUUGUAUUUUGUUAAAUGAAUUCAGGUGCAAUGAAGCAAGCCAAGCUGUCCGCCGGAAAACGUCUGACCAAACCAAUUCUGUUCGGGACAGUGAUUGUUGGACUGGCUACAGCCUUCUUUAACAGGAGGCCAGGUAGAGGAAGAGAAGAAGAGGUUGACAGGGCAGAGAGGAUGAAGGAGAGAGAGAGAGGAACAAACAUGCACAAAUAUCAUACAUUACAGAGAACAAACAUGACAGGCUGUUAUAAUUGGAAUGCUGAAAAACUAUGCAUUGUAUUUAUUAGUUUUUUUAUCUGAUACAUUGUAGCCCCUGGGUUUGUCAGAGGGCGGAUGCAGUUCAGCAUUCUGAUCUGGACAGAGAGAGAAAGAGAGAGGGAGGGAGAAACACAAAAACUACAAGGAAGACUGGAGAGGCCUGAUGAGUGAAGAGGGAGGAGAUGAAAGAAAAGGAGAGGAGGUGGAGGAACUGCUUGGUGGAUCAUGCUUGUGUCCCCCGUCAGCGUAGACCUAAAAGUUUAAAGACUUAGAGUUCAAAGAAUACGAGUUAGUCAGCCUGUUCUACCUGUGGCUGUAUGUCAAGAAGUGACUGUAACUAUACCUAUCAGCCCUAAACACUGUGUUUGAGGCUAACUAUAUGCUUUAUUAAACAGAAAGGGUUUAAGUGUGGUCUUUUUUUAUAUAACUAACAGCUCGUCCUCCCAUUCUACUUUUAUGAGUUCUAGGAACUACAAGUAAAGCUGCACUCAGAGAUCUUACUGUUCUAUAAGGGACAUAUGGUACUAUUACAUAUAUAUACAUGUAGAGCCUUGUAGGUGAGGAGAAAGAUUUUGAAGUUUAUUCUUGAGCCCACUGGGAGCUAGUUAAGAGAAGCUAGAACAGGAGAGAUAUGAUCCCUUUUGCCUCUAGCUGCUGCGUUCUGGAUCAUCUGCAGGCUGUUGAUGGAGUAAUGUGGACAUCUGGACAAUAGUGAGUUGCAGUAGUCCAGUCUGGAAGUAACAAAAGCACGGAUGAGUUUUUCAGCAUCACUCUGAGAGAGGAUGCUCUGAUCUUAGCAAUAUUACAGCCGGACAAGGUUGUCCCCACCUCUCUCAAUUUAUGAUUGCUCAGAAUGUUCUAGAAGUUAGGGUGAUUUAGAUUGAUGCAGAAGAUUGAAUAUUCUGA
ensembl:lncRNA